rnacentral:lncRNA from 1 species
AUGUUUCUUUCAGUAUUCAAUCCAACACCAAUAUGUUUCUUUCAGUAUUCAAUCCAACACCAAUAUGUUUCUUUCAGUAUUCAAUCCAACACCAAUAUGUUUCUUUCAGUAUUCAAUCCAACACCAAUAUGUUUCUUUCAGUAUUCAAUCCAACACCAAUAUGUUUCUUUCAGUAUUCAAUCCAACACCAAUAUGUUUCCUUCAGUAUUCAAUCCAACACCAAUAUGUUUCCUUCAGUAUUCAAUCCAACACCAAUAUGUUUCCUUCAGUAUUCAAUCCAACACCAAUAUGUUUCUUUCAGUAUUCAAUCCAACACCAAUAUGUUUCCUUCAGUAUUCAAUCCAACACCAAUAUGUUUCUUUCAGUAUUCAAUCCAACACCAAUAUGUUUCCUUCAGUAUUCAAUCCAACACCAAUAUGUUUCCUUCGGUAUUCAAUCCAAAACCAAUAUGUUUCCUUCAGUAUUCAAUCCAACACCAAUAUGUUUCCUUCAGUAUUCAAUCCAACACCAAUAUGUUUCUUUCAGUAUUCAAUCCAACACCAAUAUGUUUCUUUCAGUAUUCAAUCCAACACCAAUAUGUUUCCUUCAGUAUUCAAUCCAACACCAAUAUGUUUCCUUCAGUAUUCAAUCCAACACCAAUAUGUUUCUUUCAGUAUUCAAUCCAACACCAAUAUGUUUCCUUCAGUAUUCAAUCCAACACCAAUAUGUUUCUUUCAGUAUUCAAUCCAACACCAAUAUGUUUCCUUCAGUAUUCAAUCCAACACCAAUAUGUUUCCUUCAGUAUUCAAUCCAACACCAAUAUGUUUCUUUCAGUAUUCAAUCCAACACCAAUAUGUUUCCUUCAGUAUUCAAUCCAACACCAAUAUGUUUCCUUCGGUAUUCAAUCCAAAACCAAUAUGUUUCCUUCAGUAUUCAAUCCAACACCAAUAUGUUUCCUUCAGUAUUCAAUCCAACACCAAUAUGUUUCUUUCAGUAUUCAAUCCAACACCAAUAUGUUUCCUUCAGUAUUCAAUCCAACACCAAUAUGUUUCCUUCAGUAUUCAAUCCAACACCAAUAUGUUUCCUUCAGUAUUCAAUCCAACACCAAUAUGUUUCCUUCAGUAUUCAAUCCAACACCAAUAUGUUUCUUUCAGUAUUCAAUCCAACACCAAUAUGUUUAUUUCAGUAUUCAAUCCAACACCAAUAUGUUUCCUUCAGUAUUCAAUCCAACACCAAUAUGUUUCCUUCAGUAUUCAAUCCAACACCAAUAUGUUUCCUUCAGUAUUCAAUCCAACACCAAUAUGUUUCUUUCAGUAUUCAAUCCAACACCAAUAUGUUUCUUUCAGUAUUCAAUCCAACACCAAUAUGUUUCCUUCAGUAUUCAAUCCAACACCAAUAUGUUUCUUUCAGUAUUCAAUCCAACACCAAUAUGUUUCCUUCAGUAUUCAAUCCAACACCAAUAUGUUUCUUUCAGUAUUCAAUCCAACACCAAUAUGUUUCCUUCAGUAUUCAAUCCAACACCAAUAUGUUUCCUUCAGUAUUAAAUCCAACACCGAUAUGUUUCCUUCAGUAUUCAAUCCAACACCAAUAUGUUUCCUUCAGUAUUCAAUCCAACACCAAUAUGUUUCCUUCAGUAUUCAAUCCAACACCAAUAUGUUUCCUUCAGUAUUCAAUCCAACACCAAUAUGUUUCCUUCAGUAUUCAAUCCAACACCAAUAUGUUUCCUUCAGUAUUCAAUCCAACACCAAUAUGUUUCUUUCAGUAUUCAAUCCAACACCAAUAUGUUUCUUUCAGUAUUCAAUCCAACACCAAUCAACCGAUAUGUGA